rnacentral:rRNA from 1 species
UGAGGAAUAUUGCGCAAUGGGCGAAAGCCUGACGCAGCGACGCCGCGUGGGGGAUGAAGGCCUUCGGGUUGUAAACCCCUUUCAGGAGGGAAGAUGGCGCGGGUAACCGCGCGGACGGUACCUCCAGAAGCAGCCACGGCUAACUCUGUGCCAGCAGCCGCGGUAAGACAGAGGUGGCAAGCGUUGUUCGGAUUUACUGGGCGUAAAGGACGCGCAGGCGGCCCGAGGGGUCUGUCGUUAAAGCCCGGGGCUCAACCCCGGGUGGUCGGCGGAGACCGGCGGGCUUGGAGGCCGGUAGAGGGAUGCGGAAUUCCCGGUGUAGUGGUGAAAUGCGUAGAGAUCGGGAGGAACACCAGAGGCGAAAGCGGCAUCCUGGGCCGGGCCUGACGCUGAGGCGUGAAAGCGUGGGGAGCGAACCG